rnacentral:rRNA from 1 species
UUGAACGCUGGCGGCAGGCCUAACACAUGCCAGUCGAGCGGAUGAAGGGAGCUUGCUCCUGGCUUCAGCGGCGGACGGGUGAGUAAUGCCUAGGAAUCUGCCUGGUAGUGGGGGAUAACGUCCGGAAACGGGCGCUAAUACCGCAUACGUCCUGAGGGAGAAAGUGGGGGAUCUUCGGACCUCACGCUAUCAGAUGAGCCUAGGUCGGAUUAGCUAGUUGGUGGGGUAAAGGCCUACCAAGGCGACGAUCCGUAACUGGUCUGAGAGGAUGGUCAGUCACACUGGAACUGAGACACGGUCCAGACUCCUACGGGAGGCAGCAGUGGGGAAUAUUGGACAAUGGGCGAAAGCCUGAUCCAGCCAUGCCGCGUGUGUGAAGAAGGUCUUCGGAUUGUAAAGCACUUUAAGUUGGGAGGAAGGGCAGUAAGUUAAUACCUUGCUGUUUUGACGUUACCAACAGAAUAAGCACCGGCUAACUUCGUG